rnacentral:rRNA from 1 species
GAUGAACGCUAGCUACAGGCUUAACACAUGCAAGUCGAGGGGCAACGAUGUGAGAGCUUGCUCUCUUAGGCGUCGACCGGCGCACGGGUGAGUAACGCGUAUCCAACCUCCCCAUUACAGGGGGAUAACCUUGCGAAAGUAAGACUAAUACCCCUUGGCCCUUUAUGGUGACGUCGUUAUAGGUUUAACGUUUUAUUGGUAAUGGAGGGGGAUGCGUCUGAUUAGCUUGUUGGCGGGGUAACGGCCCAACAAGGCAACGAUCAGUAGGUGUUCUGAGAGGAAGGUCCCCCACAUUGGAACUGAGACACGGUCCAAACUCCUACGGGAGGCAGCAGUGAGGAAUAUUGGGCGAUGGGCGAGAGCUUGAACCAGCCAAGUAGCGUGCAGGAGGACGGCCCUAUGGGUUGUAAACUGCUUUUAUAGAGGAGUAGAGUGAGAUACGUGUAGUUUAUUGCAUGUACCCUAUGAAUAAGGACCGGCUAAUUCCGUG